AGUGAACGCUGGCGGUAGGCCUAACACAUGCAAGUCGAACGGCAGCACAGUAAGAGCUUGCUCUUACGGGUGGCGAGUGGCGGACGGGUGAGGAAUACAUCGGAAUCUACUUUUUCGUGGGGGAUAACGUCGGGAAACUUACGCUAAUACCGCAUACGACCUACGGGUGAAAGCAGGGGAUCUUCGGACCUUGCGCGAUUGAAUGAGCCGAUGUCGGAUUAGCUAGUUGGCGGGGUAAAGGCCCACCAAGGCGACGAUCCGUAGCUGGUCUGAGAGGAAGGUCAGCCACCUGGGAUCUGAGAAAGAGCCCCGACUCCUACGGGAGGCAGCAGUGGGGAAUAUUGGACAAUGGGGGCAAGCCUGAUCCAGCAAUACCGCGUGGGUGAAGAAGGCCUUCGGGUGGUAAAGCCCUUUUGUUGUGAAAGAAAAGCAGCAGGUUAAUACGCCGCCGUUCUGACGGUACCCAAAGAAUAAGCACCGGCUAACUUCGUG
rnacentral:rRNA from 1 species